UACGUAGGGGGCAAGCGUUGUCCGGAUUUAUUGGGCGUAAAGAGCGUGUAGGCGGCCAGACAGGUCAGCUGUGAAAACUCGAGGCUCAACCUCGAGACGUCGGUUGAAACCGUCUGGCUAGAGUCCGGAAGAGGAGAGUGGAAUUCCCGGUGUAGCGGUGAAAUGCGCAGAUAUCGGGAAGAACACCCGUGGCGAAGGCGGCUCUCUGGGACGGUACUGACG
rnacentral:rRNA from 1 species